GUUCAGGCUAGUGGAGAUUACAAUGCAAAACUUGGCGUCACAAUUCUUGGUGAAUCUGUUAUUGUAGAAGACGAGGUUGUGGUUGUUAAUAGCAUCGUUCUUCCUCACAAGACCCUAAAUGUGGGUGUUCAAGAUGAGAUACUCUUAUAGGUCCUCCUCACAAGACUCUGUUUGAUUCCUUAUAGUUGUAUUUGCUUUUUAUUAUUGUUAUUAUUACUAGUGGGUGACAGUUCCAUGUUGGAAGCCAAGGACAGAAAAUGUAGCGUGCUAUUUAUUGCGUUUGUAAAGUGACCUUUAUUGAUCAAGCUGUUGGUUGAUGAGCAUGGACACUACUAAUUGGUGUUCUAAAAAAGUGCACUGUGCUAUGCCGUUUAAAUUCUCCAAACCAGUAUCCCCGAGAAAACCGUUUUCCCAGAGAAAUGUAAUUAAUAGCUGUUAUAAUAACCCCUUUGGUUAUUAAUUU